rnacentral:lncRNA from 1 species
CGUGAACUCCUGAUUUUCUUUUAUUGCUUGCAGGUAUGCUGAAGCCCAAGCUUUACGAGAAAUUCAAGAACUCAAUUCAGUCAGCACCUACAUCAUAAGGUGUAGCAUAACCUUUAUCAACAACUGAAUCAACACCUUCACAUUUUGAUGAUGCACCACAACUGACUUUAUUUAAUCAACCGACAGAAUGACCAACACCUUCAGGUCAUGUUGUAGCAAAUCUGAUUCUGUCAGAUCAGACCACAACACAACAAGUUCCAUCAGCCCGGGCCGCGUCACAACACCCACCAUCUAGAAAACGAAGUGGACGUGUGUCUACGAAACAUUGAACUGUAGAUGCAAUAGGUAUGUUUCUUAUCUAACAUAAAUAUUUGAGGUUUGUUUUGGGGAACUGCUGCAUGGCUCACUUGGUUAAUAUCAUGGUGCUAACUACUACCUUAUCCAGAUCAAAGUUGUCCUCGUUGUGUAGCGCUGGAGUAUGAUCUAAAUGAUCAAGAUUCAGAAACCGUAAAUGAAAAGUAUUAUUCCCAUUUUCACCCCCAAGAAUAUGGAAUAGAACCAGAAAGAUUGUUAUAUUGUAAGUCAAGAAAAAUAAGAGAGGUGGAUUGAGUAAAACUUUGUGCGAUUUCACCAGACAAAGAGUUAUAACUUAGAUUAAGAAUAUAAAGCUUAGUCGAAUUAAUUAGACUAGUUGGCAUUGUCCUAGACAAAGAAUUAUUACUGAUUUCAAGUGU